rnacentral:rRNA from 1 species
UACGAAGGGGGCUAGCGUUGCUCGGAAUCACUGGGCGUAAAGCGCACGUAGGCGGCUUUUUAAGUCAGGGGUGAAAUCCUGGAGCUCAACUCCAGAACUGCCUUUGAUACUGAGAAGCUUGAAUCCGGGAGAGGGAUGCGGAAUUCCAGGUGUAGCGGUGAAAUGCGUAGAUAUCGGGAGGAACACCAGUGGCGAAGGCGGCUUUCUGGCCUGUUCUUGACGCUGAGGCGCGAAAGCCAGGGGAGCGAACGGG